UUCUCACUGGGUUGCACAUUUUGUAAAGGAUUCUUUUGCGAAAUUUGUACUGCAAUACUCGUGUUUUCUCCAAUUUGUUCAUCUAAAUGGGUACUGUAUACUGGCGAAGGAAUGACUACAAAGCAACAGUGCCGACAACUUAUUAGCUGUCCAUACUCCAUGACGCUCCGUGCUUCGUGGUAAGGCAAGAAACGCAUGCGCUCGUGUCUCUUAAGGUGCAUAUUCAUGAUGCUGAAAGCCAGCGUUGAAUGUCGUCAUGUGAUAUCACUCUGACAUUAGCGUCAAGAGAAAGAAGUUGGAUUUUUCCAACUUCUAGCGUCAAGCAGCGUUAAGCAAUAGUAUAAAAAAUAAAAGAUGAAUAUGGAAGAAUUUAGAAUUGUCCACACUUGUGGGAUAUGUGAAGAAAUAUGUGAAAUUGAAGAUUUGAAAGAUCAUCCCUGUAUGGAAGGAUACAAUAAUUACUUUAUUGAUGAAAAUACUUUAUAUUUUUUUCCAGUAUUAGAUGGUGUUACAAUAUAUUAUUCGACGUAAUAAAAUUAAUAAUCAAGAGAAAGUGGUAACGGAACCACUCAAAGAAGGCAAAAUAUAAUUCUUAAAGUCUGGUUCUAAGUAUUCUAUUUUAUUUUUGUUAGCUAACAAAGAGUAAGUUAAACCAUUAUCUCUGCUGAGAUUUUUGGAAUAGUAUGUGUGAUUGGGAUUCUUUUGGUUUCAUAUUUUUUAUUUACUUUGUUCAUCUAUAUUAUCAUGUAUAUAGUUGUUUUAUUGAAGUGUGUUCUUUAGUUCUUUAACUUUUGCUUUGGUUAAGCAAUGCUUUGAUUCAAGCAUUUCUAUACGUACAUAAUUAUUUCAGCAAGUACAUCUAAAAAAAGAACAUCAAUAUCAAAUUUUAAUUUUGAUGACGAAGAAAUGUUAAUAUUGGAGGUGCAAAACAGGCCUGCGUUAUGGAACUAUAAAUUACGUUAAUAGAACGAAGUAUCAAAAUUAAAAAACAAUUAUGGGAAGAAAUUGCGCAAAUAUUUAAUGGAAAAUUUAAUGCAGAAUUACUGAAAUCAAAAUUUAAAAGUCUGCAUGACAUAUUUAGAAAAAUUGUUCAAUCCGAACAUCAUACAAGUGGAUCUGCUCGUAAAGAUCAUGUAAAAAAGUGGUCUCAUUAUGAAUCAAUGAAAUAUCUUCGUGAUUCCUGUUUGUAUAAAAAGUAAGUGUUCAUAGUUAUAAGUAUAUUCCAAACUGUGAGAUAUUGGUAGCCGUGUAAGAGCUGCGGGAGCGCGACGCACUGUCCGCGAGGCGCUGUAAUCUAGUAGUAGUUAAAGUCACUAGAUAUAUAAAGUACCGCAAUCGUCCGCCAUUUUGGCUCCAUGACGCGGCUAUUUCAAAUUCAUGUUUGUAUAUGAAUGGCUGCGUUCCGUUUGGGCGCUCACGCGCUGUAAGCAUCGCUCUAUCUUCGUUUGAUAUCCGAUGUGCAACGAAGAUAGAAUGAUGCUUACAGCGUGUGAGCACCCAAACGGAACGCAGCCAAGGUAUAUUAGGAAUAAGGGAAAACUAUAAAUAUACUAAAAGUUUGAUAAUAAUCAAUACAUUUUAUUUUCUAUAAAAUUUUAUAUCACUCAGAGACUGCUUCAUCGCAACACUACGACUAGAAUGAGCUUGUACAUUACUGUCACAGAUUGUUUUAAAAUUAAAAUGAAUACGUGCAAGUACAAAAGUUUUCAAUAAUUUAUACAUAAUAUUGUGACACGACGGAAUAAAAGGUGUUGGAUACGUUUCUAGACACAUAUCUACAAACUUAAAAGGUGUUAAUUUAUUUGACAAUAUAUUAGCUUGAUAUUUUCUAAAUAAUAAUUCGCACUUAA